CUGGCCUUCUCGGAGGCAUCGNUGCACGCCCUGCCCGUUCCCAUAUCAUACCUGNUGAACUUUUUGGUAGGCGGGUUUGUGUCGGCCUCGAAAGGGGUCGACCGGCCCUCCGGCCGUCUUUAUAUACACACCAUACGAGUCUUUAGAAUGUUUGUGCGUCUCGACGCAUCUUAUAUAUAACUUUCAGCGACGGAUCUCUUGGCUCUCGCAUCGAUGAAGAACGCAGCGAAACGCGAUAAGUAAUGUGAAUUGCAGAAUUCAGUGAAUCAUCGAAUCUUUGAACGCACCUUGCGCUCCUCGGUAUUCCGAGGAGCAUGCCUGUUUGAGUGUCAUGAAAUUAUCAACCCCUCCUCCUUCAUCGGCGGUGGGGCUUGGACUUGGAGGCUUUGCGGGCUUUUAACGAGUCGGCUCCUCUCAAAUGCAUUAGCUCGAACCCCUGCGGAUCGGCCUUCGGUGUGAUAUAAUGUCUACGUCGUGGUCGUGAGCGUCGGAUCGGCUUCUAAUGGUCCCCUUUCGG
rnacentral:rRNA from 1 species